UACGUAGGUGGCAAGCGUUGUCCGGAUUUAUUGGGUUUAAAGGGUGCGUAGGCGGCCUUGUAAGUCAGUGCUGAAAUAUCCCGGCUUAACCGGGAGGGUGGCAUUGAUACUGCAGGGCUUGAGUAAAGUUGAGGUUGGCGGAAUUGACGGUGUAGCGGUGAAAUGCUUAGAUAUCGUCAAGAACACCGAUAGUGAAGACAGCUAAACUAGCUUUAACUG
rnacentral:rRNA from 1 species